CGCGGCGCUUAAAGGGGCCGGGGGCGCGCGCGGGGCGGGGCGGGCGGCUCGGGCUGCGGGCGGCGGGGCUGCAGCGGUCGCCGCGGCCCUUCGGCAGUGAGCGAGCGAGCGGCUGCGCCGAUCUUUGUUCUUGUUGAGACAAAGCCCCUGGACUUGGGUCCCCGGUUCGUGCAGUCGGAUUAUUCGCUCUCCAGCAUCUUGGGUCACUACACCAGAGUUCUAUAAAAAGUUGCCUGUGAAAUUAAAACAACAACAACAACAACACAUGGAAUCCACUGCAUAGGUUCAAAAAAUAAGAGGAGCUGGUUUGUAACGGAAUGCUGUCUUCAUGCGCGCUCAGCCAUCGAGGCACAGAAUAAGCUGCGUCCGCAGCAGAUUUCUACGAUUAAAACGGUGGAUUGAGUGUUCAGGCCAGCAGGCAGUCCUUGUUUCAUGCAAUGGAGUGGACACAGUCCCCUGAUUUGCAGCUUUGAUCAGUCUACCCCAUGGGACUACCAGUAUUGGCCAGAAUCCUAUGUGACAGGCUUCCCUGUUGCGUUGUGGUCCCAGAGUGAGGCUGAGGAGCCACCAGAAGACAUCAGAAGCUUUCAUCCAGAAGCCUGAGGAGAGCCUUGCCCUUCCUCAAGAGAGGGAAGUCCUGGAAAAUGACAGCAGUUUUUCUUAGUCUUCGCAGGAAUUCACCGCAGCUUCAUGUGCAGUGGCACCACAGCAAAGAGGUGGUCUCAGAAUUUCUAGAAAGACCUCAGUCCUCCCUCCCCAACAACAGGCACAGCCUUGCUGACAUUAUCUACCCUGAGACCAUCAGGAUUAAUCACAUUAUCCCUUUAUCCCUGUUUACAUCAUUACUGCAGGAAGCCAGUGGACUCCCAGGUCACCCUCCACCUCCUUUACUCCAAUUCCCAUCAGCUCUUAAUCUCCUUCUCCUCCCUUCUCCCGCCCUCCCCUACUCUCCCUGUCCUGCCGUCUGUCAGCAGCAAAAUCUACAUGUUCUCACCCUGGCUGUGAAGGUGCCCUUUCACUGUCCUGCUCCAACUGAAAUCGGAAUCUCCCUAGGAGUUACCCCUUCCGUGGGAGCCCUUAUCUCUGCUGUCUCUAUUGCAUCCUACCUGACCUUUGGCCUGGAGACAGACUGAGGUGGCUCCUUGCUCCUCCUGGCCAUUUUCAAACUGCUCCUCCCUGCAGAUCCUCGGCUUCGAAUCUCCUGUCAUCAGCUGUACCACCUACUGUCCCUUAUUGUCACUUGUCCUUAUUUCUCCAAGAGUUUAGCCGCUGACUCAUGGUCACUUUCUCCAAGAGUACUCCCAACAUAAUUCUCGGUAAUUUCAGUAUCCAUUUGGUCACCUUUCAAAUAUCCUGGCCUGAGUUCCUUGACCUCUUCUUCCUAUAAUUUUGCCUUUUACCCUUUAUCAGUUACUCACUGUGAAGUCAUGCUGUAGACCUUGGCAUUAUUUGUCACAGUAACUCCUUCAUGUUCUCAAUGGCAGGCAUCCCUCUAGUACCACCAGUGCUCCCUCCCGGGCCCUGACUCCAACAGCCCUCUCCUUCUGCCAAGAUCUACAGUCCCUUGACUCUACUACCUUUUGGUUAUGGGUUAUGCCUCAUUCCCUUCAGAUCCUCUAAUGGCCUCUUAGUGUUAAAUCCCUUGGUCAGUUAUUAGAAUCACUCCUUUGCCGAGAGUUCUAAUUAUUUGCUAAAAUCUCUUCUCCUUCCUUCCAAAAUGAGAGUAUUGUAGCUAAGCACAGAGCUGACAUUUCUCAGGCUUCCUAGCAUUUAACUGUAGCCAGAGGACUAAAAUUUUGCUAAUGGAGUGCAAGCCUAAGUAAUGUGUGGUGCCCACAGGCCAGGCCCUUAAAAGAAGAGCAAUGCUUGCUCCUUACACUCUUUCUCCCUCCUGAAAACUGGUAAAAAGGUGUGCCUGCUACCCCGUUUCUGCUUAAAAUUGACAUAAAACCUGCUUUAACUCAUA